rnacentral:rRNA from 1 species
AGUGGCGGACGGGUGAGUAACGCGUGAGAAUCUGCCUUUUGGUCGGGGAUAACAGUUGGAAACGACUGCUAAUACCGGAUGUGCCUACGGGUGAAAGAUUUAUUGCCAAAAGAUGAGCUCGCGUCUGAUUAGCUAGUAGGUGAGGUAAUGGCUCACCUAGGCGACGAUCAGUAACUGGUCUGAGAGGAUGACCAGUCACACUGGGACUGAGACACGGCCCAGACUCCUACGGGAGGCAGCAGUGGGGAAUUUUCCGCAAUGGGCGAAAGCCUGACGGAGCAAUACCGCGUGAGGGAGGAAGGCUUUUGGGUUGUAAACCUCUUUUAUUAGGGAAGAAGAUCUGACGGUACCUAAUGAAUCAGCAUCGGCUAACUUCGUGCCAGCAGCCGCGGUAAUACGAGGGAUGCAAGCGUUAUCCGGAAUUAUCGGGCGUAAAGCGUCCGCAGGUGGUUUUACAAGUCUGCUGUCAAAGCGUGGAGCUUAACUCCAUACCGGCGGUGGAAACUGUAAGACUAGAGGUCAGUAGGGGUCACGGGAAUUCCCAGUGUAGCGGUGAAAUGCGUAGAUAUUGGGAAGAACACCAGCGGCGAAAGCGCGUGACUGGGCUGAUUCUGACACUCAUGGACGAAAGCUAGGGGAGCGAAAGGGAUUAGAUACCCCUGUAGUCCUAGCCGUAAACGAUGACAACUAGGUGUUGCGC